AUGUCCUGUACCAUUUUUCUUCUUAAGAAACAUUAUAUCAUUUUUAGCCUCACAUUCCAGCCUUUGUUAGCCUUCAUAAGUCUUGCUUCAUUCAGCAGAGUAACCAUUCCGGGUGAGCUGCAUAACUUUUGUCUGGUCUUCAGCCUGUUUGCAAGAUAGAUAUUCAACUCCUUAGAAUUACGAAUUGAAAUUCAAAUUUUAAAAAUAGUUGCUUUGUGAUGACAGAGUCUUCCUUCUACAGUGUCAGCACCUAUGCACAGAAUGGGAAGUUCCCUAAAUAUGAAUUUCAAAACAGAAUCUGUUCCUAACACUGUGGUGAAAGUGAAAUGGAGAGAUGGAAACAGAGACUGAGGAAAGAGAAUUUUAAGCUUGAAUGGCUCAUUUUUACUACGGUCACAGUUAAUGGCUACAUACAGCGGUCUCCUCUGAGAUUGAAACAUUCCACCUCCAAGAGAUGACUGCUGAGGGUCACUCUCAGAUAAGUCAAGCUUCAAAGAAGACUCUCAGAUAGACAGCUGCAAAGAAGAACAUGAGACUAGUCUGGCUGUUUGGAAGGAGAAACCAGCUGAGCUGCCUGGAAGAGGUUUAGACCAGAGUCACUUGGAAAGGAAGCUCUGUUGAGCUUUCUGAAGGCUGUGCAUUGUGCUCCAGGUUCCCAGCUUUUGUGAGCUGUCAUCUGUGCUGGGACAGGUUUGGUGAUGCAACUGUCUUUGAGUAUUUCUGCUUCUGUAGGUAACCCCUAACCGACAUUCCUGUAAGUUCUCUCAAUAAAAGUUAAGGGUCACAAAAUU